ensembl:lncRNA
UUUAACUCUAAGACAUGGAGCAGUCCCAACAAUAAAAUUUGUGUCUCCUCCGGACUGUAAACCCAUUCUUCCAUCAUGCUCAUCUGAAAAAUCUCCUAGUGUCAAAACUAAGAGAUCGGUGGCCACACAAUUAUCUUUGGGGACAUUACAGUUUCACAGGAGUAAAGGUGUCCAAGUCACUGCCAGUACAUUUAGCAGAGGUACAAACACUGAGCAGCCAUGGGAUCCACUGUCCUCAACCACCGUAAAACCAGCCAUCUUGUUUGGUAAAAGACCAGCAAAAAGGCCUCGUGUGGAGGUGAAGGAGGAAGAAGAGGAGGAGGGCAUUCCAUUCUCUAUCCCAUUAACACAGGAGUCCACAUAUGAACCAGGCAUCUCUAUGACUGAUGUAUCUGAUAUGAG